CUACGGGUGGCUGCAGUGAGGAAUUUUGCGCAAUGGGCGAAAGCCUGACGCAGCAACGCCGCGUGAGUGAUGAAGGCCUUCGGGUCGUAAAGCUCUGUCAAGUGGGAAGAACCUAUGUAAUGUUAAUAUCAUUAUAUACUGACGGUACCACUGAAGGAAGCACCGGCUAACUCCGUGCCAGCAGCCGCGGUAAUACGGGGGGUGCAAGCGUUAUUCGGAAUCAUUGGGCGUAAAGGGCACGUAGGCGGCCUGGUAAGUCAGAUGUGAAAGCCCGGGGCUUAACCCCGGAAGUGCAUUUGAUACUGUCAGGCUUGAGUAUGGGAGAGGGAAGUGGAAUUCCUGGUGUAGAGGUGAAAUUCGUAGAUAUCAGGAGGAACACCGGUGGCGAAGGCGACUUCCUGGACCAAUACUGACGCUGAGGUGCGAAGGCGUGGGUAGCAAACAGGAUUAGAUACCCGAGUAGUC
rnacentral:rRNA from 1 species